AUGAGGAAACUGAGGCUGAGUGAGGAAGAGUCCUGUCUCCACCCAGCAAUCAUCUGCCACAUAUGCCUUCUCCACCUUCUUAUCCACUGACAGAAUGGACACGAAGAAAGAUGAAUGGGGCCACACCAGGGCUAGGAGAGCUCAGAUGGACUUUCUGAUAUUUCUUGUGCUGGAGAAAGCUCAGAGCAACCUGACAUGGCCAGUUGUGCAAAGCAUAUUGCCUCUCUUUGGUGCCAUAUCUUUUUCCCUUUGAUGUGUGAUCACUUCAUUCCCUCCUUGAUUGCUUUUCAAAAGCAAUCUAAAUUAAUGCGAACCCACAAAGGGCAAGGCUCUCUGUGAAUAAUUAGUGCAUGAUAAUAAAUGCAAAUAGGGAAAGAUGCAAAGUUGGCCUAAGAACUACUGCUCCCUGCUCCCCUGCCCAUUCUCUCCACAUUGGGAAUUCUCUUUACAUUAUUAAAGAAAGAAUUUGAGUAAACUUGAGAAAGGGUGGUAUUCCUAAGCAGAGCACUGGAUUCAUUGAAGGAUGGUAGAAAGAAAGAACAGAAGCUAAAAGAAUCAGACCAGUGACUGCUACAGGGUCUUUGUCCUUUUUUUGUAGGUUCCACUGAAGACAAAACACUUGUCUAGAUUUCUGCCAUUCAGAGGAGGACAUAUCAUCACAGUCAAGAAGGAGCCACCAUAAUUUGGUCCUGUCCACUCAGGAUUUUAUCCUACAAACCCUGAGCUCCAGUCAAUCUUGUCUCCUUUCUGCUCCUUGGCUAAAUCAAAUUAAAAACAAAUCCAAAGCCGGGGAUGAGAUGUGUUCAGACCUUCCGUAAAACUGUCUUGAAUAUUAUGCAGAGAGAACUGGACAAACUGAAGGUUAGGAAAUGUUUCAGCUGGUAAGGCAAGCCCCUGCUUAUUCUCCAUCAAAUCGUUUGUCCCGAGUCCCUUCUGGAAGUCAGUUUUUAUCUAUUGUCAUAUUUAAUGGGCAGAGCUGUAUGGGAAGGGGAUGAAGUAUCUGUGGAGCCUGAAAAUUGGACUCCUCCAAUCCCUUUAUUCAAGAUCAUAGAUUAUUAGAUCAAUACAAGAUUUGGGCAGGGACACACAUCCAAACUGUAUCAUCUCCCAUGCACCCCAUAUUCCCUACACUUCCUGUAAUCCAGGGACAGAAAACAGAUUUCAGCUCAAGUGCCUUCUAAUCCAUUUACAAUGGCUGCCAGGAGGGCUAUAUUCAGAAUAGUCUGAGAGCAUGUCUGGGAUCAGUAGGAAAUGGGUGAGAAAAUCCAGAAGUUUCAUGUCCUUCACAUCUCUGUCAUUCCUGAUUGAGUCCACCCCUGUCAUUUUCACUGUGGCCAAAUUAAGGCCUUAAAGGAAGAACUGACACCCAGCAUCACAGAGUAAAUUGAUAAAAAGAACCCAGCUCUCCCUGAAUCUCUUAUUUUCCUAUAAUCCAGAGUUUAAGACAGGAGAUGGAUCUAAGAGUACAGUCAUAAUACUAUAACCAUUUCUAAAUGCUUACUAUGUGCCAAGUACUAUCCUAAGUGCUUUUCAUGUAUAUUCGCAUUUAAUCCUGCCAGAACACUGAGAAAUAAUCAUCCCCGCUUAACGGGUGAAAUUGACACACAAGAGUGGUCAAGUAACCCAUCCAAUAUCCCAGGACCAGUAAGUGACAAAGUAGGGAUUGACACACGGCAAGAAUAGAACAGAACUGGGUCUAGAAACAUCCUCACACAAUCGGUGGAAGAUUCUGGUAAUUACACCAACACAUACAAAGUCAAUUCGCAUUGGAAAAAUACCCCAUGAAGGCCCAGUGAUCUUUUCAGCCCUGGUGAUGUCAAAGGCUGCAGAAUAAGGAGUGGAAAGUCCUAGUUACCAUGACAGGAAGCACCAGUGAGUGAUUUAGAAGGCAGGAGAUGAGAACAGGCAAUUCAGCAGGACUCAGGUAGGACGCUGAGCUCUUGGCAUGAACAGAUAGGUUUCGCCAUGGUCUCGAGUAUGACAGGUUGGUCCCAAAAGGUCCAGUUUUGCUCAAAAGAUUCCCUGAAACUGAAAAUGUAGUAUAACGGAAUAUCACUGGCUGGCUCCAAUCCUCGGGGCUUGCUGUUUCAGAAGAGAAAGAGGCGCCCAUCGAUGUAUUUAUAGGCUUAAAGCUGGCAUGCACUGAAGCUACCUGGGGUUACUCAACAACUGUUUUAGGGCACAUUUCCUCCAUCUUUUUGUUUCAUUAGGUUUUAGUCGGUCAGCUAUCUGGGGCCUGAAUUAGGAUUUCACACACAUCCAGAGCCAAAUGACAAAACAAACAAAAGAAGCCCUGUGACUAAAACAGAACUUGGGGUCAGCAGCUCAGUAAGGGUGGCCCCCUGGAAACAACUCCUGUGUAGGAUCAAAGGAAAGUCAAGUGGUAUGUCACAUCCCAGGGCUGGGGACCCUUAGGGGAGGGGAGCCCCACUGCCUUGAGCUCAGCCAGUCACCCCUUUGUUCCACGACCUUGGCCUGCAAAGUUCUUCCCUCCCAUCCCUGAGCAAAAUCCUAAAGUUCCUUCAAGUUCUGGCCCAAGUGUCGACUUCUUUGGGAAGUCUUCCCUUACUCCAUCCCUACCCCACCUCUUCUUCCUACAGAAAAAAAAAGAAGUUUCUCGUCCCCCUCCUCCACACUCUGUCCUCAGUUCCCAGCCCAUCCCACAAGUCUCUGGAGACUGGGAGAGCAUAGGUGUGGAGUCGCCCUCAUUCACCACUUUAGAGAGACUGGAACAACAUCAGCAGCCCUGUGGAGGCAAGCCCAGGCCCAGGCACUAUGGUCUCCCGGAUUAUAAUGAUUCACACACGGAAAACAUUGGAGAGAAAAAGCUGAAAAGGAAUAUGCUGCCCAAAUUUCUCUACCAUGAGCAAGUAUUGCUUUUAUCAUUGGAAAAACAUAAAAUAAACAUUUUAAUGGACUGCACAUUUCUCACGCUAAAGGAGCUAAUGGUGUUUCCUAUUGUGUGGAAAACAGACCUGAACCCAUCCACAGGAUGCUGAAGAAUCCACAAAUUACGGCACGCAUUGACAGUGCCUAUGUACAUGGGAAGGAGGAAACUCAGCCUGCCUGGGGCAUCAGGGAAGGCUCCACACAGGACAGGAUGAGUGAGAGCUCUCCAGUUAGACUAGGGAAGAUGAGGCAGAAGGGAAUUCAAGGCAGAAGGAACAGUAUGGUCAAAGGCAGAGUCAUGAAUGUGCAAGCUAAAUAAUAUGGCUGGAAUGUGGGAGAUAUGGGAGAUGAUAUCAUUUGGAUGGGUGUCCCCGUUCAAAUCUCACAUUGAACGAUAAUCCACAGUGUUGGAGGUGAGCCCUGGUAAGAGGUGACUGGAUCAUGGGGGCAGAUUUCUCAUGAAUGAUUAGCACCAUCCCCCUUGGUACUGUUUUCACCACAGUGAGUUCUUGUGAGUUCUGGUUAUUUAAAAGUGUGUAGCAUCUCCCCCCUCACUUUCUCUCACUCCUGUUUUUGCCAUGUGAUAUGCCUACUCCCCUUUCAGGUUCCACCAUGAUCGUAAGUUUCCUGAGGCCUCCCCAGAAGAUGUUGGCACCUCAUUUCCUGUAAAGCCUGCAGAACCAUGAGCGAAUUAAAUCUCUUUUCUUUAUAAAUCACCCAGUCUCAGGUAUUCCUUUAUAGCAAUGCAAGAAUGGCCUAAUACUGGAGAGAAUCGUGGAUGUGAGGUAUGCAAUAAAAGGUUAACUCCACUAGCUUGGGGUCCUCAAACUCUGCACCUUCCAAAGAAAGAACUGGCCCUUGACCAGCCCCCGGGAAAUAACCUCUGAGCCCUUGGAAUAUCGUGCCUGAUGGAAUAGAGUAUCUUUGUAUCGCUGGGGCUUUGGGCCACCCCACAUAGUUUAUGCUAACAGUGUAAUUCAUGAUAAAGGCCUGUUUUUGUUUACCUGGAGUCCCAGCCCAUGCUGUAUCGGUUUGAUUCCAGGCAUGCAGGGGUUGCAUAGAGACUGAGUAGCCAAGGUCAGUCACGUGGGUGACUCAUACCUCCGUGACUGACUCCCUUCUCCUAACAAAAACCCUGGACACCAAGGGGCAGUUGGGUUUCCCUGCUAUGUUUUGUCACACAUCAUUGCUGGGAGAGUUCAGUGCUAUCCAAGUGACUCCCCCGGGAGAGGACAACUGGAAAUUUAUGCCUGGUGUCUUCCUGGACUCCGACCUAUGCACCUUUUUCCUUGGAUGAUUUUAACCUGUCUCCUUUUGCUGCAAUGAACCAUAACCAUGAGUAUAUCAGCUUUUCUAAUUUUUGUGAGUCCCUCAAGUGAAUUAUCAAACCUAAGGUAGUUUUGGGACCCCCAUCACAGAGAGUCAAACAGGGGCAGGGCAAGAAGAGCUGCUUUUCCUGGAAGGCUAAUGAGUCUGAACUUCGCCCUGGAGGUAAUCGUUAUAGUAACUCCAGGCUCUAACCUGGAGCUGACAUGAUAAGGUCAAAUGUACACCUCUAGAAGACUUCCGACUGCAGAGGGGAAUGGAUGGGGGAGCUGAGGGAGGAGAGCUGAAGCAGGAAGACCAUGGCCUGGAAAGAGAUGGCUGAACCAGUCCAGCCAUCCCCUUAGCCCUCUGCCCACAGUGAUCACUAACUGAUUGCUCCUCCUUAAAAGCCACCGAAAAGUGUGCUUGGCUGAUCUCCCUGACCUCAAUUUCUCUGCUGGCAGAAUCACAAGAAAGGCAUCAGCACCUUCUGUGAAAUGGGGAGCCAUGCAGAGGAGGUGCCCAGGUGGCGAGGAGUCCAUGUCAGCUGCCGUCAUCCACACCACAGAUCAGACAUGGCAAAGAGUGGCCAGGCCUUCUGAGUGAAGGUGAUCCAACCUGUCACCAAGCCUAAGGGCAAAUCCUGGCUGUGCUGUGAUGGCUCCAACAACCCCAAACAGCAGCGCAGAGGCUGCAGCCGCCCUCGGAGGCAACACUGGGAAACGCUCAUUAGCAGCCUUCCAUUGCUCACCCGCCCCAUCCCACCUCUGUGCAUCCCAGAUCAUCAGCGAAGUGCACAGCUGGCUUCCAUCCUCGGAGCCUUCCUCCUUCAUUUGCCUAUUCAACAGUUACAAAGGCCUGAGUUGCAAAGGGGCUUACAACCCAUUCCACCCAGAAGAAAGAGAACUGAGACUGAGCAAGACAGAGAAUAGGUGGAAGGGGAGAUGAAACCAAGCAAUCUCUAGAUCCCAAAUGGGGACCCUGAUGUAGCAAGAGCCUCUUUUAAAUCCUUUUCCAAUAGGGUAAUAUGGAAAAUAGUUGAAAGCACAAGCCAAGUGGGGCUGGAAUCCCAAAUGGGCCAUUUACUAGCUGUGUGACUGGACAAGUAAUUUCAUAUUUCUGGGCCUCGAUUUUUCUCAUCUGUAAAAUAGAAAAAAAAAAACCUAUGUCAUAACGUUGAUAAACAGAUUAGAUGAGCUAAGAUCUAAAAUGUCUUCUAUUCAGUAGGUGCUCAAUAAAUGUUAUCUAUUUUUACGAUUGAGUCUCUAAGUCUGGAGAUUAAGGAGGAAAGUUUCACAUGCUGGGUUCUGCAGGUAAUACAGUGAGACAUGGUUUCUGUACUCAUGCUCCUAACUUAGGUGGCAACAGCUGAGAGGAUAGUCUGAGGCUGUGCAGGGCUGAAAGCCUCCUGAGAGGUCAUCUGAUCCCCUAUUUUCAUGGGUGAGAAAACAGAGAUGUAAAACAACCUUCUCCCAAAGUCAACAGCAAGAUAGUGCCAAAGUCAACACUAGAACCCAGGGCUCCAGGCUUCUAUUGUUCUUUCCCCUCCAAUAAAAACCUAAUGACAGGAUGCCACAAGUCAGGACGUGAAUAAAAUUUCAAAUAACUUGCCAUAGAGAACACUGUGCCCUGUCCAGAUCCCUGUUCCCAGGCCAUGUACCAUCCCUUGGCUGCUUUGGGUGGUGGCUACCAGUGGCUCACAGCUGCCCUGUCCUCUGGAGAAUUGCCACCCCCACCGUCCCCACACCCAGCUGAUGAGGGAGAUUAUACCCAGUGCUGUGUUGGCAAAUGUUUAGCAGCCACUUUCUGGUGGGGUAGGAGGAGCCCUGGCUUGAGUAUUUGCCACUUUCCCUGGUGUAAAUAUUCCCACCAUGGCCGACUCCAAGCUCCCAGCAAGACAUCACCGAAGGUGGAGUUGUGGAGAGAUGCACAUAGCUCUCCAUCACAUAGUGUUUCCACCAUAAAGAUCCAAUAACCAAAAAUAACUGCAAGUGCACAGAUUUUUAAAACUGUAGUAAAAUAAUUAGGAAGUGAUGACUUUUGAAUAUGUAUUUCC
rnacentral:lncRNA from 1 species